rnacentral:rRNA from 1 species
CAGGCCUAACACAUGCAAGUCGAGCGGACCCUUCGGGGUUAGCGGCGGACGGGUGAGUAACGCGUGGGAACGUGCCCUUUGCUGCGGAAUAGCCUCGGGAAACUGAGAGUAAUACCGCAUACGCCCUUUUUGGGGAAAGAUUUAUCGGCGAAGGAUCGGCCCGCGUCUGAUUAGCUAGUUGGUGAGGUAAUGGCUCACCAAGGCGACGAUCAGUAGCUGGUCUGAGAGGAUGAUCAGCCACAUUGGGACUGAGACACGGCCCAAACUCCUACGGGAGGCAGCAGUGGGGAAUAUUGGACAAUGGGCGCAAGCCUGAUCCAGCCAUGCCGCGUGAGUGAUGAAGGCCUUAGGGUUGUAAAGCUCUUUUACCUGGGAAGAUAAUGACGGUACCAGGAGAAUAAGCCCCGGCUAACUUCGUGCCAGCAGCCGCGGUAAU